rnacentral:rRNA from 1 species
ACUCCUACGGGAGGCAGCAGUGGGGAAUUUUGCGCAAUGGGGGAAACCCUGACGCAGCAACGCCGCGUGAGUGAUGAAGGCCCUUGGGUCGUAAAGCUCUGUCAGUGGGGAAGAAAUGUUUGGAGGUUAAUACCCUUCAUGCUUGACGGUACCCACAAAGGAAGCACCGGCUAACUCCGUGCCAGCAGCCGCGGUAAUACGGAGGGUGCAAGCGUUGUUCGGAAUUAUUGGGCGUAAAGGGCGUGUAGGCGGCCUCGUAAGUCUGAUGUGAAAGCCCCGGGCUCAACCUGGGAAGUGCAUUGGAAACUGCGAGACUUGAGUACGGGAGAGGGCAGUGGAAUUCCUAGUGUAGGAGUGAAAUCCGUAGAUAUUAGGAGGAACACCGGUGGCGAAGGCGGCUGCCUGGACCGAUACUGACGCUGAGACGCGAAAGCGUGGGGAGCAAACAGGAUUAGAUACCCUGGUAGUCCACGCCGUAAACGAUGAGUACUAGGUGUUGCGGGUAUUGACCCCUGCAGUGCCGCAGCUAACGCAUUAAGUACUCCGCCUGGGAAGUACGGUCGCAAGACUAAAACUCAAAGGAAUUGACGG